CUGAGUCAAAUUUGAUCACAUGGUAUUUAUUGAAUUUAAUUAAAAUCAUUAAAAUUCCAAUAUUUUUUGCGAGCACACAUAUUUUUCAGCUAUUAAGUUAUAAAAGUGUAAGAAAUAUUUGGCAGCACUUCUAAUAAAAUUCGAUUGAAAUUAUUGCUAACUUAAAUUUUUUUAACUAAAUGAUUUUUUUAAGCACUAUAAAAUUUUAAUUAAUAAUAAUAAAUAUUAUAUUUAAAAAACUGUGGUAAAACAUCUUUACUCAUAUUCACAUGUGUUUACCACUUGUCUUUUAAGUCACAAAGACGUGUUUUUCAUUGCAUAAAAGUUAUUUUAAUAAUCAAAUUAUAUCCACAAUUAUUUGAAACAACAGCGGUGCUUCACAAAAUAUUACUUUUGAUCUUUAAACAAAAGACAAACAAAUUAAAAAAAUUAAAACAAUAUCAAUUAAAAAAUAGACGUUUAAGCAUACAACGUGGGACUCAAAAUACUUAAAUAAAUGUUGACGGUAUAAGAAUUUCUACAACUCUUCAGGAUUGGAUCAUUAUCAAAGCUAAAAGAAUCCAAAACAUCAAGUGUUGCUUAAUUUUUUCUCUGCUCAGAACACAGCCAAUAGUUAGCGCUCUAACUCAUACGUAUACAAACAUCUGUAGGCACACCGGGCAUAUGACCAACAACCGAGAAACGCUUGACCAGCGUCGAGUUCAAAGAUCAAUUAUGACAAUUAAAGUAUUUUUAUCGUUGGAAAUAUGUUCAAUGCGAGACGAUCUUCUUUUUGGACAAAAUGUUUAUUUAUGUGUGAACAAAAAAGUGGAAAAAAACUAUGAUGCAAUGUUACAAAAACUGAUCAAAAAAUGAAACAAUAAUUGUCUAUAAUUAAAUAAAAACAAAUUAAAAAAUUCUCCACAAACAAUUUAUUGGUAUACUACAUUUUAAUGAAUAAAUAAUGCAUAUUUAAUAUCGAUACGAACUUAAUUGAUAAAAUAAAUAAAAAUCUGAAAUUUUAAACACAUAA